GUAUCGGAGCGAAUACCAGUACAGAGAAGUCAAUAAGUCAUGAUUACCAACCUUUUCUAAAGUAAAACUUGCUUAGAAACCAAGUUGGAUAGCUGUCAGGACGAUAAGGAUAGACCUAGGACGUGAAGCCUUAGGAAAUAGAUGGGUAGCUAGGUGGCUAUUUAUAUAGGCCAUAAAGGCUACUACUACUAUUAAUAAGGAUGCUGUAGAAGCAUUCGAAAAAUUAGUUAGGUCUGAGAAGACGACUAGAAUGAGCAUGCAUCAUGAUUGUCGCAUCAUUGUCUCUUGUGCACCAACAUGCUUCUCUCACCUUUAUUCUAAUAAUAAGAACUUGUGAAUAAUGUAAUGUAUUGCUAUGUUAGGAACUAUAAGAAAUGCCUUCCUCGUGUCAGAUUGAUAAGUCUUGUUAGGUCGUGCUAUGUGUUUCUCUUGUCUUGCUAGCUAGGUGGUAUUGUAAUUGUUCAACCCUCUUUGC
rnacentral:lncRNA from 7 species